GUCGUCGCGGGAGGCCAUGACACGCGGCCCGAACCCCGGCCGCCGGGACCGCGCCGAGCCACUGGCGAGACCGACCCGCGAAUGC
rnacentral:ncRNA from 1 species